rnacentral:lncRNA from 1 species
CCGUCGAGAGGUUGGGAUUGAUGGUCUCUGGGUUAGAGUGUCCCCUAUGGGUCAGUGGACCCAAGUGUGACCCGUUAGUGGCAGAGUCAGUCUGCCAGUGUAGUCCAGUUUUUGUUGAGGGAAGAUGCCUUUCCGCCGACCUUGUGGUUCUAGAUUUGACAGAUUUUGACGUCAUUCUAGGGAUGGAUUGGUUAUCUACCCAUGGUGCUACCUUGGAUUGCAGAGGCAAGGUAGUCAGGUUCAGAUGUCAG